rnacentral:rRNA from 1 species
GACGAACGCUGGCGGCGUGCUUAACACAUGCAAGUCGAACGGAAAGGCCCUGCUUUUGUGGGGUGCUCGAGUGGCGAACGGGUGAGUAACACGUGAGUAACCUGCCCUUGACUUUGGGAUAACUUCAGGAAACUGGGGCUAAUACCGGAUAGGAGCUCCUGCUGCAUGGUGGGGGUUGGAAAGUUUCGGCGGUUGGGGAUGGACUCGCGGCUUAUCAGCUUGUUGGUGGGGUAGUGGCUUACCAAGGCUUUGACGGGUAGCCGGCCUGAGAGGGUGACCGGCCACAUUGGGACUGAGAUACGGCCCAGACUCCUACGGGAGGCAGCAGUGGGGAAUAUUGCACAACGGGCGGAAGCCUGAUGCAGCAACGCCGCAUGCGGGAUGACGGCCUUCGGGUUGUAAACCGCUUUCGCCUGUGACGAAGCGUGAGUGACGGUAAUGGGUAAAGAAGCACCGGCUAACUACGUG